CCGCCUCAUCACAACCCGAACCACCACCACCUUUCCGAUUUUGAAAUCAGAUAAGGGAAUAUACGAUUGCAUCUUCAAUUUAAUGAGUUCUAUCUUAUUGUGUCUGGCCUUCAAUUUGAAGUGUCGGUGCUUUUAUGGUGUGUUCUGAGUUCUUCAACAUCAUAUCAGUAUUGGAUUUCUAGCUUCAACGAUGAAAUUUUUGUCGUGGAAUGUGUAUGAGGAUUUUAUCAAGAGUGGGAGUAAGGUUAAUGUUUAUACUUUGAAUAUUAUGGUUAAUGCUUUGUGUAAAGAUGGUAGAUUGGAUAAUGUUAGGGGUUUUUUAGAUGAGAUGGAGGGAAAAGGGGUUUAUCCUGAUCUUGUAACUUAAAAUACUCUGAUUAAUGCUUAUUGUCGAAGGGGGGUUGUUUCGGCGGCGUUUCGGUUGGUGGAAUCUAUGGGUUGUAACGGGUUGAAGCCUGGGCUUUUUACGUAUAAUGCUUUGAUUAAUGGUUUGUGUAAGGAGGGGAGUUAUGAGAGAGCUAGGUGUGUUUUGGAUGAGAUGUUGGGGGUUGGAUUGUGUCCUGAUGUUGCGAGUUUUAAUCCGAUGUUGGUGGAGAGUUGUAGGAAGGAGGAUGUUUGUGAGGCCGAGAGGGUUUUUAAUGAAAUAUUGCGGCGUGGAGUUGUUCCUGAUUUGAUUAGCUUUAGCUCGACUGUUGGGGUGUUUUCUAGAAAUGGAGAACUUGGUCGGGCGUUGGCAUAUUUUGACAAGAUGAAAAGUGUUGGGUUGGUUCCUGAUACGGUUAUUUAUACGAUUCUUAUCAAUGGGUAUUGUAGGAACGGUGAUGUGACCGGUGCACUGAAAAUGCGGAAUGAGAUGGUGGAGCGGGGUUGUGUUAUGGAUGUGGUUACAUAUAAUACUCUGUUGAAUGGAUUGUGUAGGGGGAACUGACCUAUACUCCUUCCUUCACCGAUGAUAAGUAUUUAUCUGCUGCUUUAAAACCUAAAGUAGUCGUGUUAAGAGAAGAAGGAAGCAAUGGAGACAGAGAAAUGGCCGCAGCGUUUCAUGUUGCUGGUUUUGAACCAUGGGAUAUUACUAUGUCAGACCUUCUUAAUGGUGUGAUCUCUUUGCAAGAGUUUCAUGGUAUUGUGUUUGUUGGUGGAUUUAGCUAUGUCGAUGUGCUUGAUUCCGCAAAAGGUUGGUCUGCUUCUAUAAGAUUCAAUGAGCCUGUUUUAAAACAGUUUCAAGACUUUUAAAAGCGUCCCGACACUUUCAGUCUAGGUGUAUGCAAUGGUUGUCAGCUAAUGGCUUUGUUGGGAUGGAUACCGGGACCUCAAGUCGGGGGUACACUAGGUGCUGGUGGCGACCUAUCGCAGCCUAGGUUCAUCCAUAAUGAGUCCGGGCGGUUCGAAUGCCGUUUUACAAACGUGACAAUAAAGGACUCACCAGCUAUGAUGUUCAAAGGCAUGUCUGGUAGUAGAAUGGGGAUAUGGACUGCUCAUGGUGAGGGAAGAGCUUAUUUCCCAGACGAAGGUGUUUUGGAACGCAUCGUUCAUUCAGACUUAGCUCCUGUAAGAUAUUGUGAUGAUGAUGGAAAUCCAACCGAGACAUAUCCUUUCAAUGUAAACGGCUCUCCAUUAGGAGUAGCAGCUAUUUGUUCUCCUGAUGGUCGACAUCUUGAAAUGAUGCCUCAUCCAGAGCGUUGCUUCUUAAUGUGGCAAUAUCCAGUGUAUCCAAAGUAGUGGAAUGUUGACAAGAAGGGACCUAGUCCUUGGUUGCGCAUGUUCCAUAACGCUCGAGAUUGGUGUUCCUGAGACAGUUUCAUGCAAAGUUUAUCACGGUUAAAUUGGUCUGACUAGAAGUGGAGCUCAAGCAAGAUGCAAUGGUGAAUCUCUCAUACCGUACUGAAUACAUGAUUUAUUGCAUUCUUGUCUUAAUAUAAAAGGUGGAUUCGAUUUGGGAAAGAUCUUGAAUUGUUGGAUUCUCCCGGGAAACUUCCAAUGCGAAUCAGUGACCAGUCAGCUGCUAUAAAACUUGUUAUAUGUGAUGACAUUGGAGAGAAAUCCUAUGAUGUGGAUGAUGUUGCGGCAAUUCUUGUACAGAUGCUUGCAAAGCUUCCAACUGUAGGUCGAGAUACACUUUGUAAACGAUACAAGUUUCACGUAGAUAGUGAAUGUGGUAAAAUGUGUUUGCAUUUGUAAAAACAGACAGUGCUAACUCGCCCCAUAGAGCAAAGUGUCGUGUGCGUGAAUGCUUAUUGGAAUUUCGCACUGAGGUUGAGUAAGGGCUUUAUGGAAUGCCACAUUUUUGGAAGAAGAGCUCAGGGGCUUGAUUUCAGAGCAGUGGAAAGACAUGGGAUGGAAAGGGAAGGAUCCAUCAACAGAUUUUAGCUUCCAAAAUCAAGCCAAAACCUUGGAAUAGAAAUGUCAUCUCAAGAAUCAAGUCUACACGUGAAUUUCGAUCACGUCAAGGUUGCUGUCACUGAGUUCGCUAGGGGAUUUAAUUACAGUUACUACCAGCCCAUGCACUUAGCGAUACUAAACGGAGAUUGGGAAUCUACAAAGGCUUUCAUUGAUAACGAUCCAACCGCACUGACAGCAAAGGUUACGAUACUUGGCAGGAAUACACUUCAUUUUGCAGCUGUAGGUGUCUUAUCAGAUUAUAGGCUGAAAUACACAAGGGUCUUUACAAUCAUGUGUGACACUGACAUUUCUGAGAAACAAAGGUUUUUCUCAUAGUUUUUUGUGAGAAUUGCGUAUGCAAACUGUAAUCUAAUUUGACCGUUACUGGAAUCGUAAACUUCAUGGCAGUCCAUUUCAGUACUGUGAAAUGUUCAUGCCUUUAUCUUACAGGAAAGACAAACUGCACGAGAAGGUACCGAUGUACCAUGUGCUUUUCGGAUUUUAGUGUGAAUUUCUUUAUAACUUACCAAUUGAAGUUGAAUCAGUUGUGUAUUAGUCUGCUCUUAUCUUGAAACUGCACUGUCAGAGUUGUGGAAUAAAGUGGUAUUAGUAGCUUGAAGUCUGAACGUGUUUGUCCUGCUUGUAUUUUGUAGAAUAGUUGACAAACUUUGCAAAAUAGCAACCUGCCAAUCUUUGGUGAUAGUCUGAUGUAAUCUUUUAUUUGAUUGUUCCUAAGUUCAAACUAAUUAUGCUACCAAAAGUGUUAGUAUUUGAUGAACACAAUUGGUUUUUACUCUUAAAAUAAAGCUGACUUGCAGUGUAACAAACUUAGGAUCUGUUUUGUGAAAAUAUUUAUAGUAGUUGCAUGCUCAAUAUUUAUAAUUAAAAGUGGCCUGGAUAGUUAGAUUUUGCAAAAUAAUCGAGCUGGAAAAGAAGUAUUUUUUAAUGUAAAACAAAAAUCACAUCUAGUGACGAUUGGCACCCUUCAAUAAUUCUUUUUAUUGUAUUGAUGUUGCUUUGCUAAGUGAGUGAUAUUGUUUCCAUUGGUGUUUAGAUAAUUUUGCCUCUUAAGGAAGAUGGACUUGUGUUCUCGACCCUCUCUAGUUUGCAAAUGCUAUGACUUGCAGGAGGAGAUAGAAAAUAAACUAGAAGUUGCUGGUGCUUUGGCAAUCAAACUUCUUCAGCGAUAUAAUCACUCAAUGUCCACAAUGAAGACUGCUUCACAGCAUCUAUCAGGAGUUCAAUCUAUAUUUUCAAGUCAAAUACCCGGCAAGAAUUCAUUCCAUUUCAGCUAUCAAUUAAGUUUGUUUCAGUGAAUUCAGUUUUAGAAUUGAUUUCAUAAUUGUGAUUAUUCAGAUGCAUCUUUUAAGAAAGGAUACAAAACAAAACACAUUAGAGGAAAAUCGGAAACUUUGUGUGCUCAGUACAUAAAUACUAAGGAAGUGAGGGUAGCAAUUGGAUCUUGGAAUGUUGCUGGAAGACAUCCAUCCCAGGAUCUUGAUAUUGAUGACUAGAUUUGUGCCGAAGAACCGAGUGAUAUUUUCGCUGCUCGUUUCUGUUUAUUUUACAAUUUCUGGUUUUGUUCAAUUGUUUCUGAAUGUGAGUUGUUUUCACAUCAGUAGGGUGCUCUCCAUUGGGAGUCACAUUUUAUCGGUUCAGUGCUAUCAUCCAUUGUACUGCUUAUAUGCUAUAAUCAAUAUACCACUAUUUCCUCCAUAUUAAUAUUGUUGUUUACUGUUUGUGUGAGUAUUAAGCACAUCAGUUUUUGUGUUGACUUCCAAAUCAUAAAAAAUUAUUUGUGGUUGGUUUAGAAUGUUAUGCACAUCUUCUCAUAAAAUAAAAUAAUUACAAAGUUAAGUUUAAUUUUUAUAUGUAACCAAAAACU